rnacentral:rRNA from 1 species
GUCGAACGCCGGCGGCGUGCCUAAUACAUGCAAGUCGAGCGAGACUCUUCGGAGUCUAGCGGCGGACGGGUGAGUAACACGUGGGCAACCUGCCUGUAAGACUGGGAUAACACCGGGAAACCGGUGCUAAUACCGGAUAAUCCUUUUCCUCUCAUGAGGAAAAGCUGAAAGUCGGUUUCGGCUGACACUUACAGGUGGGCCCGCGGCGCAUUAGCUAGUUGGUGAGGUAACGGCUCACCAAGGCGACGAUGCGUAGCCGACCUGAGAGGGUGAUCGGCCACACUGGGACUGAGACACGGCCCAGACUCCUACGGGAGGCAGCAGUAGGGAAUCUUCCACAAUGGACGAAAGUCUGAUGGAGCAAUGCCGCGUGAGCGAUGAAGGCCUUCGGGUCGUAAAGCUCUGUUGUUAGGGAAGAACAAGUACCGGAGUAACUGCCGGUACCUUGACGGUACCUAACCAGAAAGCCACGGCUAACUACGUGCCAGCCGCCGCAGUAAUAC